rnacentral:misc_RNA from 1 species
GAAACAAUGAAAACAGGAAAUGGUCUCUUGGGAGAACUAAUACCAAUGCUUUUGUCGACAAAGUUCCCUUGCCACAACAACAGGCUUGUUGCACUUAUCUACUUGGAAACAGUAACGAGGUAUAUGAAGUUUUUUCAGGAGAAUACUCAAUACAUACCUUUGGUUUUGAGUGCCUUUCUCGAUGAAAGAGGCAUACACCACCCAAAUAGCAAUGUGAGUCGAAGGGCAAGU